rnacentral:rRNA from 1 species
AAAGAAACCAACAGGGAUUGCCUCAGUAACGGCGAGUGAAGCGGCAACAGCUCAAAUUUGAAAUCUGGCCCUUUCAGGGUCCGAGUUGUAAUUUGUAGAGGGUGCUUUGGCGUCGGCCGUGGUCUAAGUUCCUUGGAACAGGACGUCACAGAGGGUGAGAAUCCCGUACGUGGCCGCCGGUCUUCGCCGUGUAAAGCCCCUUCGACGAGUCGAGUUGUUUGGGAAUGCAGCUCUAAAUGGGAGAUAAAUUUCUUCUAAAGCUAAAUAUUGGCCAGAGACCGAUAGCGCACAAGUAGAGUGAUCGAAAGAUGAAAAGCACUUUGGAAAGAGAGUCAAAAAGCACGUGAAAUUGUUGAAAGGGAAGCGCUUGCAGCCAGACGUGCCCGCAGUUGCUCACCCGGGCUUUUGCCCGGGGCAUUCUUCUGCGGGCAGGCCAGCAUCAGUCCGGGCGGUUGGAUAAAGGCCUCUAUCACGUACCACCCUUCGGGGUGUCCUUAUAGGGGAGGCGCAACACGGCCAGCCUGGACUGAGGACCGCGCAUUUGCUAGGAUGCUGGCGUAAUGGCUGUAAGCGGCCCGUCUUGAAACACGGACCAAGGAGUCUAACAUCUAUGCGAGUGUUUGGGUGUAAAGCCCGGGCGCGCAAUGAAAGUGAACGGAGGUGGGAACCCCUCGGGGUGCACCAUCGACCGAUCCUGAAGUCUUCGGAUGGAUUUGAGUAAGAGCAUAGCUGUUGGGACCCGAAAGAUGGUGAACUAUGCCUGAAUAGGGUGAAGCCAGGGGAAACCCUGGUGGAGGCUCGCAGCGGUUCUGACGUGCAAAUCGAUCGUCAAAUUUGGGCAUAGGGGCGAAAGACUAAUCGAACCA